rnacentral:lncRNA from 1 species
CGCGCGCUCAAGUUUUCACCGGAUUUCACCUCCUUAUAAACAGCAAAUUAGUGAAACAAAAAAACAAGGCCAGCACCAAAUGCUUGGAAUUACCUGACGGUGUUUGAAGCUCAUUUCUCACCGGAUGUGAUUCGAGCUCCCCGGCAGCGCUGUGAGUAAUGAUCCUCCAUCAGUCUUGCUCUUCAGCACCACCGCAGGGGAGGAUCCAUAAUUACAGCAUCUCCGCUCCGGCCUGCCGUACAACCUCCUCGCCGACAGUGACAACACCGAGAUGACGGCACACAUCAUUUCCUUUGAAAUUAAUGAGUGGUAAAUAAUUACUCCACAUACCCGCCGAGCUGCAGGAUGGGAAGACAAAAGAAAGGAAAGCAAUGUGACAAGACAAUCUCAACCCCUCCAGGGGCAAAGGAGGGCAGGCAUUGGGAAGAGAUGGAGGAACUCUUUCAUGGCCUUCAGGGAUGCAGAUUUGUGUUUGCGGUGACUGAACGCUGCUUACUUUUGCACCGAGUUCCAGCCCACUGUCAGCGCUUACAAUCCUCAUUCGCUCAUCAAGAGAAACGAGAGAGCAGAGGUCCCGGCGCUCCCUGCAUUACCACAUCAAAGACCCCCUUAUUUUUUAUUCCAUCUAAAGUAAUUGUUAAAUGAACAUUGUUAACUGCUGACUAGGGUUAGGUUAUUGGGGGGAAAAGCAGGUACGUUAGAGAGGAGGUGGCGGUGGUGUGAUCAAAGGUAUGGUAAUGUGUGCAUAAAACAGCGAGGAGCUUUGACAACACUGAGCGGGAGGUGCUAAAGCAAGACCUUUUUAGUUUUUCGGCAGGGGGGAUGCAUGUGAGGGGGAUGUGACUUUAUGGCUCACGGUUACAGCAUACAACUUUACUGUUAACAGUUGUGGUUAAAUACGUAUUAUAGAAUGACUGAUGAU